GCAUUGGUGGUUCAGUGGUAGAAUUCUCACCUGCCAAGUGGUAGGUCUGAAUUCGAUUCCCGGUCAAUGCA